rnacentral:lncRNA from 1 species
UAGGCUUUGUUUAAAUUGAUGUUUUAUCUUUAUUGUUCCGCUGCGUAUUUAGACUUGUGAAACCCUAUGACUUGAGUUAGUCAAUGGAAUAAGAUUGCAUUUAUUUCAGCUGAAUUAUUUUAGUUAUAUAUUUGAGAUAUUUGGUUUAGAUGCCUUGCAUGCUUGUAGGGAGAGUUCCCUACAGGUGUGCGGCGGUUGGCGCGGACCCCCGGCUCGC